rnacentral:rRNA from 1 species
GGACUACAGGGGUAUCUAAUCCCGUUUGCUCCCCUGGCUUUCGCGCCUCAGCGUCAGAAGAGGUCCAGCGUGCCGCCUUCGCCACCGGAGUUCCUAUUGAUAUCAACGCAUUUCACCGCUCCACCAAUAGUUCCGCACGCCCCUACCUCCCUCGAGAUACCCAGUAUCCGCGGCAGUUCGACAGUUGAGCUGCCGGAUUUCACCACGGACUUGAAUACCCGCCUACGCGCCCUUUAAGCCCAGUGAUUCCGAAUAACGUUUGCUCGGUUCGUCUUACCGCGGCUGCUGGCAC